GAAACCUUUAAAAUUAGUUCCGUGAAGCUAAGAAGGUUCAACGUAGUUUAGGACCAGACCACUUAGCUUCCAUAGCUAAGUGGUCUUUUUUAU
rfam:Lactobacillus selangorensis strain DSM 13344 Scaffold1, whole genome shotgun sequence.